CUAAUAUUUCAAAAUCAUAUCUGUAGAUCAUCCACGUAUUCUCUCGAUUGUGUCAAACCUCAGUUGUCGUUCCGCUCUCUUGCGAUACGAAUCGUAUCGUUUUGUAUCUUUCUUGAAUAAAGUAUCCUUUAGUGUUAUUUAAACAUAUAUCCUGCCUGAAAAAAUUUCGCACAUAGUGAAGUUUUUCAAGGAAGUUGGCUCAGCACCUCAACUUUUAUGACUAUCGCUUACUGUAGACGGCGUAAGCUUAAAUUUGGUCGGUGCCAAUUAUUCACUUUUGCUUGAUAUUCAUUGGAAUCCGCCAAAAGGAAGCAUGAAUCCAGGAUGCAAUUCACAGAGUCGAGCAAAGGAAACGAGUCUACAUUAACAAAUUUAUGUAUCUAGACACAGUGGAGUAACGAAUCAAUGCAUUGCAAGACCAAAAAAUCGAAACAGCAACCGAAGUUGAGACAAGUGCCUCCAAGUUAUCGAUGGAUGAUGUCAAAUUUUUAUUCAACUUGUAAAACUUUUAUUUUGUUGAAUCUCCGUAUCGUCUGGCCUUAGUCAUAUAAUUCUGGAAAUAGUGAAUUGACCUGCUAUUUUGAUAUGCAUCUGAUCGCGUUAAGCCAAAGUUUCUUGGCAGAAGUAAGGA